rnacentral:ncRNA from 1 species
UGUCCGCCGCUCGUUUGCCGACCAGCAGUAGGGGCCCUCCGGCCCCCAAAGGCACGUGUCGUUGGCUAAGCCCUCGCGGCGGACGAGCCGCGCGGGCCGCCUUGAAUUACAAUUUCCACCGGGCGGCGGACUGAAUCCUUUGCAGACGACUUAAAUACGCGACGGGGUAUUGUAAGUGGCAGAGUGGCCUUGCUGCCACGAUCCACUGAGAUUCAGCCCUUCGUCGCUCCGAUUCGU